UGUGGGACCGUUACCUUGAUAAUGUAAUGUUAACCCAUGAAAAUGUUUCUCUGCUGCAGGACUUUGCUGGAACAUCUACCUCUGGAGAGGAUGGGCAGGGACCUCACAGAAAAUUCAAUGUCCAGGCACCAUUUCAAGGUUCUUCAACUGCCACAAAUCAGUGUGUUCUUCAGAAAUAAGCCCAUGGACUCCAGUGUGAUUACC
rnacentral:lncRNA from 1 species